GUCCAUCUUUCUGUAUCUCUAAUGUCGGACGGGAAUCAUAUACCAAAUGCCGCAUGGAGAGCAAUUUCGAUCAUCUGUGCACUGAAUCCUGUCUCUCUCUUCCUUUUUUUCAGACUCUCUCUCUCUCUCUUCCUUUCUUUUUUAUUCUUUUCUUUUUGUUUCAAAGUUCAACCAACAAAGCUACCGGGCCGGAGGUCCAUCCCCAACGCUUCGUUGUCUUCCUCCUUCAGCGUGCGCGCACACGCAUGCACAAGACGAAGCAGCAGAAACGGCAGCACGCGUGAUCCCCGCCGCUCCAUCGGUCCACGAACCGAUUCUGCUACUCAUCCGUUUAAAUCCACCUCCAGAAACUGACGGACCGAACCGAAUAACGCAUUGGAUUCGUCGCCAGCCCGGCCAUCACUCCAAACGUCACCCGGGUCACGCGUACGCCCGGACCUCCCCAUAUAAAACACCAAUGUCUCGUUUCCCCAAUUUAUUUCCUUCGCUUCGCAACCUUCCCACGCCAGAGCCAAAACCGCGCCGUCUUACGCCCGCCGCCGCCGGAGUUCGCGUGGCCAGGCCGCCGCUUCCGCUCGGGACUGACACCACCGUCGAGUCGCCUGAGGACCGGUCCGGCCAUUCCAUCCGCGUGACAGGAUUCGCUUCGUUGCCAGGAGGCAUGCCAACCACUUGGACAGCAACGGAGUUCAGCGGCCACGACGCAGCACACCGACGCGGACCUCGACAUCACCAUCGGCGACAUGGCUGGGAGAUGACAUGACUGGGAAGGAGCACCACCUGGAAUAGGGAGAUGAAGGACUCGUCAACGUAGGCAUGCCUCUCUCUUUGAUCAUGCUUAUAUAUAACUUGCUUUAAAUAUUGCAUAGUAUUUUAUGGUUUAUAAGCAUGCAUGAUAUUUAAUCUUGUAGGUAGUGUCAAUUGACACUUUAAAGUGAUUUGCUUGUCGCUUGUUUCACUUGACGUCGGAGUGUAAUUAUGUACUAAUCAUGCAUAAAGUAGAAAUGCUUAGCCAUGCUCAAUAAUCUAUAUGUAGUUGCCACUUCAGAUGAGUUUCCAGGAUCAAUGACACUUUGAAACUUACAAUUGAGCUCGUCGAGCUAGGACAUUGGGCCAGUUGUUGGUUCAUCUACUCUGGGCGAAACUUACCAACCAAACACUUAUCCAUGUGGCAGAUGAAUCAAGGAUUCAAGUAGCAAUUGGCUACCCUUCAAAAGCUGAA